CCUACGGGUGGCAGCAGUGAGGAAUAUUGGACAAUGGACGCAAGUCUGAACCAGCCAUGCCGCGUGCAGGAAGACGGCUCUAUGAGUUGUAAACUGCUUUUGAACGAGGGUAAACGCAGAUACGCGUAUCUGUCUGAAAGUAUCGUACGAAUAAGGAUCGGCUAACUCCGUGCCAGCAGCCGCGGUAAUCCGGAGGAUUCAAGGGUUAGCCGGAGGUAUUGGGGGGAAAGGGGGCGUAGGAGGGCGGAUAAUUUAGAGGUGAAAUCCCGAGGCUCAACUUCGGAAUUGCCUCUGAAACUGUUCGGCUAGAGACUCUUUGCGGUAGGCGGAAUUUCUAUUGUAGCUGU
rnacentral:rRNA from 1 species